AGGGUGUUAGCUCAGCGGUAGAGCAAUUGACUGCAGAUCAAUAGUCUUCGGUUCAAAUCCGGAACCCCCUC
rnacentral:tRNA from 1 species